GAUGAACGCUGGCGGCGUGCUUAACACAUGCAAGUCGAACGGUGAACCUAGCUUUUAGUUAGGGGAACAGUGGCGCACGGGUGAGUAACACGUAGGUGACCUACCCCAGAGAGGGGAAUAACCGCGCGAAAGCGUGGCUAAUACCCCAUACGGUCGGCGAUUCGGUUUGUCGAUCAAAGUUACGGCGCUUUGGGAGGGGCCUGCGGCCCAUCAGCUAGUUGGUAGGGUAAUGGCCUACCAAGGCGAUGACGGGUAGGGGACCUGAGAGGGUGACCCCCCACACUGACACUGAAACACGGGUCAGACACCUACGGGAGGCUG
rnacentral:rRNA from 1 species